GUCACUUGGGGAUCUUGUUAAAAUGCAGAUUCUGAUUCCCAAGCUGGCUGAGGAUAAUGUUUCUGCAUUUCUAAUAAGCUCCCAGGUGAUGCUAA
rnacentral:pre_miRNA from 1 species